rnacentral:precursor_RNA from 7 species
UUUCAGCCCAACUCCUGCCCCAGCUUCCCCAGUUCUCAGGCCCGCUGUGGUGUGAAGUUAGGUUCACCAAGCGGCUGCCCUGGGAGAGGGGGAGGUGUGCCUCCUCUUCCCCCUGCAUCU